rnacentral:misc_RNA from 1 species
AAGACUAUAGACCUGCGGAGUACCUGCGGAAGGAUCAUUAGUGAACGCCCUCACGGGCUUAUAACUAUUCCAAACCUCUGUGAACCGUGCCCUUCGGGGCUAUUUUACAAACAUGGUGUAAUGAACGACAUAUAUCAUAACAAAACAAAACUUUCAACAACGGAUCUCU